rnacentral:rRNA from 1 species
GACGAACGCUGGCGGCGUGCCUAAUACAUGCAAGUUGAGCGCUGAAGGUUGGUACUUGUACCAACUGGAUGAGCAGCGAACGGGUGAGUAACGCGUGGGGAAUCUGCCUUUGAGCGGGGGACAACAUUUGGAAACGAAUGCUAAUACCGCAUAAAAACUUUAAACACAAGUUUUAAGUUUGAAAGAUGCAAUUGCAUCACUCAAAGAUGAUCCCGCGUUGUAUUAGCUAGUUGGUGAGGUAAAGGCUCACCAAGGCGAUGAUACAUAGCCGACCUGAGAGGGUGAUCGGCCACAUUGGGACUGAGACACGGCCCAAACUCCUACGGGAGGCAGCAGUAGGGAAUCUUCGGCAAUGGACGAAAGUCUGACCGAGCAACGCCGCGUGAGUGAGGAAGGUUUUCGGAUCGUAAAACUCUGUUGGUAGAGAAGAACGUUGGUGAGAGUGGAAAGCUCAUCAAGUGACGGUAACUACCCAGAAAGGGACGGCUAACUACGUG